AUAUGGCACUUAUGCAAAACGUUACACAAUUUUUUUUUCUAUUGUUAAUGUUGGGGAUAAAUGUUCCGCGCCGUAGUUUUUUGUUGUGGUGGCACUACUUCCUAGAGGCUUAGAUCGAUGGAUCGAUCUUCUUACGUUGCGCGUCUGCGCACUUUCGUUUUCCGCGUCUUCUUGUACCCACGUAUACACACGCUGCUGCGUGCAUUUCUAAACCUCUUUGUAUCAUUGUCAAAUAUAUGUACUUUGUAACAAUAA
rnacentral:lncRNA from 13 species